CCUACGGGAGGCAGCAGUGGGGAAUAUUGCACAAUGGGGGAAACCCUGAUGCAGCGACGCCGCGUGAGUGAAGAAGUAAUUCGUUAUGUAAAGCUCUAUCAGCAGGGAAGAAAAUGACGGUACCUGAGUAAGAAGCCACGGCUAACUACGUGCCAGCAGCCGCGGUAAUACGUAGGGGGCAAGCGUUAUCCGGAUUUACUGGGGGGAAAGGGAGCGUAGACGGCAGUGCAAGUCUGGAGUGAAAGGCGGGGGCUCAACCCCCGGACUGCUCUGGAAACUGUACGGCUGGAGUGCAGGAGAGGGAAGUGGAAUUCCUAGUGUAGCGGUGAAAUGCGUAGAUAUUAGGAGGAACACCAGUGGCGAAGGCGGCUUACUGGACUGUAACUGACGUUGAGGCUCGAAAGCGUGGGGAGCAAACAGGAUUAGAUACCCGUGUAGUC
rnacentral:rRNA from 1 species